rnacentral:rRNA from 1 species
GAGUGAAGUUUAGUAAUGAAGUCCGUGAGCUGUGCGUCAAGAAAAGCCGCCAUUGUUCAUACCAUACCCGUACCGUAAACCGACACAGGUGGAUGAGGAGAGAAUCCUAAGGCCGGCGGAAGAAGCAUUGUCAAGGAACUCGGCAAAAUGACCCCGUAACUUCGGGAGAAGGGGUGCCUGCGAGAGCAGGCCGCAGAGAAUAGGCUCAAGCAACUGUUUAGCAAAAACACAGGUCUAUGCGAAACCGAAAGGUGAGAUAUAUGGGCUGACGCCUGCCCGGUGCUGGAAGGUUAAGAGGAGAGGUUAGCGGUAACGCGAAGCUUUGAAUUUAAGCCCCAGUAAACGGCGGCCGUAACGAUAACGGUCCUAAGGUAGCGAAAUUCCUUGUCGGGUAAGUUCCGACCCGCACGAAAGGCGUAAUGAUUUGAGCGCUGUCUCGACAAUGCAUCCGGUGAAAUUGAAGUACCAGUGAAGAUGCUGGUUACCUGCGCCAGGACGGAAAGACCCCAUGGAGCUUUACUCCAGUUUGGUACUGGGAUCCGGUACUGCAUGUACAGGAUAGGUGGGAGGCUGAGAAUCGGUAACGCCAGUUGCCGAGGAGCCGCUGUUGGGAUACCACCCUUGCAGUAUUGGGUUUCUAACCAGCCGCCGUGACCCGGCGGUGGGACAAUGCCAGACGGGGAGUUUGACUGGGGCGGUCGCCUCCGAAAGGGUAUCGGAGGCGCCCAAAGGUUCCCUCAGGAUGGACGGAAACCAUCCAAAGAGUGCAAAGGCAGAAGGGAGCUUGACUGCGACACCGACGGGUGGAGCAGGUACGAAAGUAGGGCUUAGUGAUCCGGUGGUAUUAAGUGGGAAUGCCAUCGCUCAACGGAUAAAAGCUACCCUGGGAUAACAGGCUUAUCACUCCCAAGAGUUCACAUCGACGGAGUGGUUUGGCACCUCGAUGUCGGCUCAUCGCAUCCUGGGGCUGUAGUAUGUCCCAAGGGUUGGGCUGUUCGCCCAUUAAAGCGGUACGCGAGCUGGGUUCAGAACGUCGUGAGACAGUUCGGUCCCUAUCCGGCGUGGGCGUAGGAUAUCUGAGAGGAGCUGUCCUUAGUACGAGAGGACCGGGAUGGACGGGCCGCUGGUGCACCGGUUAGACUGCCAAGUCUAUAGCCGGGUAGCCAAGCCCGGAAGGGAUAAACGCUGAAGGCAUCUAAGCGUGAAGCCCCCCUCAAGAUGAGAUAUCCCAUCCGAAAGGAGUAAACCCCCUUGAAGACGACGAGGUCGAUAGGGCAGAGGUGGAAGUGUGGUAACACAUGGAGCUGACUGCUACUAAUAGGGUGAGGGCUUGACCA